rnacentral:rRNA from 1 species
UACGAAGGGGCUAGCGUUGCUCGGAUUUACUGGGCGUAAAGCGCACGUAGGCGGAUUGUUAAGUCGGGGGUGAAAUCCUGGAGCUCAACUCCAGAACUGCCUUCGAUACUGGCGAUCUUGAGUCCGGAAGAGGUGAGUGGAACUCCUAGUGUAGAGGUGGAAUUCGUAGAUAUUAGGAAGAACACCAGUGGCGAAGGCGGCUCACUGGUCCGGUACUGACGCUGAGGUGCGAAAGCGUGG